GGCUUCAUCGUUUGAGAAGCUCACAGAAACCUCUCGAAGCUCUCUUUCUCCUCCUAAAAUCCGAGAAGGUGAAGGCAAAUUUGAAUUAAAUUCCACCUCUGGUUUUAGCUUUACCCGCCGUUCUAUCUUUGUAAUUUGGUUUUACAGGAAUCACCUUUGAGAGCUCAGUUAGCAUUUGAAGAGGAAGAGGGCUAUGAUCGCAAGCACAUCAGCGGUAGUUCUGUAGCAGAGUUGAGCAUCAAACAGGUAUCCCGCUUGCCCUUAUGCACUCUGGGGUUCGUGCCCACCAAUUGCUAGUUGCCCUUUUCUUAUCGGGCCAUGCUUUGUGGACAGGUUUUCAGCUUGAGGACCUUGACUUACGAUGGAAGUUAGUCUUUGAUAGUUCCUUGUACAAUUAAAAUGUUGCAUAGUUGAGUAGGUGCUUCCUCGGUGUGUACGGCCAAAAGAAUAAUUAAUCUUAAAUGGACGAGAAUGUGGGGUCCUCUUUGCCAGAUGAUAUUCUCGAUCAGUUGUUUGCUUAUGCUAAAACCACCAGUCUAGCGGACGCCUUAGAAGUUCUUGUAAAAUAUCAAGAAAUGCAGACUGUCUUUGCUUUGGUACUUGAUCUAAUUCAAGGACACUCGCAAUAUUUGACU
rnacentral:lncRNA from 1 species